UUGCAGGCUCCCCCGUCCUCUCGUUUCUAGCAUCCCUCGCAGCCUCCCGAACGAUGCUCCAAUCGACAGCCGGGAGACAUCCCGGCGAGCCCGCCCCGACACCUGACCCGCCGCGUCGCCAUUCCGCCGCACUUCGUAAUUCGCUCAUUCGGCAGUAUUUUACGGCCUCUCGCGUGCAACGUGGACCGUUUUAUCGAUUACCGAGGACGCUCCCCGUCUCCUGAAACAUGGUUUUUGGAAAAUCACGAUUUUCCGCUUCCUCAUCGGCGUCGAAAAUAAUCUGUAACGGUUAGAGUACAACAGUGCGAUGGAAGGGAGGAAGAGGGAAAGGAUGGAGCCAUCCCCUUCACAAAAGGGCAAAACCAACAAUUAUGCAAAUUGGUCAAUCGGGCUUCAAUCUACUUUCAAUCCACCAGGACACCACUCAUCUCAGUCAACACCCAUCUCAGAAAUUGCACACGUCGGGGUUGACGCGUGCGGCCGAAAGUUACAACGAGGAACCGCGUGCGCGUGUACGGCUCUCGCCGCAAUAAUCAAGGACGCACACGCCCUUUUGUUCGAUUAAUAUGCUCCGCGGUCGCCACGAGUGUCAUGAGAUAGUUCACACCUCGUUACGAUGAUGGGCCCUUUCCACAAUCGAAUCCUUUUAGUUCUACCCUUCCAUCCCGUCCGAGCAUACGUCUUUAUAAAUGAUACGUUACGCAACGAUUGAUAUUAAAUAUUGUGUAAUAUAAAUCGUCGAUGUAUCAAUGGAUUUGUAAUUUCGAGACGAUGAUGUCGCAAAGCAACUUAUUCCCAGCCUUCGAUUGCAGCAGGAUCGAUAUAUUAUUAUUGCAAACGUAACAAAUAAAUUCAUUACGUUAAUAUCAAAUAAU